AUUGAACGCUGGCGGAAUGCUUUACACAUGCAAGUCGAACGGCAGCACGGGGGCAGCCCUGGUGGCGCGUGGCGAACGGGUGAGUAAUACACCGGAACGUGCCCUGUCGUGGGGGAUGACGUAGCGACAGUUAAGCUAAUCCCGCAUCCGAUCUGAGGUUGAAAGCGGGGGACCUUUGGGCCUCGUGGGAUCGGAGCGGCCGAUGUCAGAUUAGGUAGGUGGUGGGGUAAAGGCCUACCAAGCCGACGAUCUGUAGCUGGUCUGAGAGGACGACCAGCCACACUGGGACUGAGACACGGCCCAGACUCCUACGGGAGGCAGCAGUGGGGAAUUUUGGACAAGGGGCGCAAGCCUGAUCCAGCCAUUCCGCGGGCAGGACGAAGGCCUUCGGGUUGGAAACUGCUUUUGUACGGAGCGAAAAGGCUCUGGCUAAUACCUGGGGCUCAUGACGGUACCGUAAGAAUAAGCACCGGCUAACUACGUG
rnacentral:rRNA from 1 species